CAGUAGCCGCGGUAAUACGUAGGUGGCAAGCGUUGUCCGGAAUUAUUGGGCGUAAAGGGCUCGCAGGCGGUUUCUUAAGUCUGAUGUGAAAGCCCCCGGCUCAACCGGGGAGGGUCAUUGGAAACUGGGAAACUUGAGUGCAGAAGAGGAGAGUGGAAUUCCACGUGCAGCGGUGAAAUGCGUAGAGAUGUGGAGGAACACCAGUGGCGAAGGCGACUCUCUGGUCUGUAACUGACGCUGAGGAGCGAAAGCGUGGGGAGCGAACAGGAUUAGAUACCCGAGUAGUCCCUGUCUCUUAUAC
rnacentral:rRNA from 1 species